rnacentral:tRNA from 1 species
GGCGGGUUGCCGGAGUGGUCAAACGGGGUGGAUUUAGGCUCCGCUGGCUUAUGCCUACGCGUGUUCGAAUCACGUACUCGCCA